rnacentral:rRNA from 1 species
AGCAGUAGGGAAUAUUGGGCAAUGGGCGAGAGCCUGACCCAGCCAUGCCGCGUGCAGGAAGAAGGCUUUCUGAGUCGUAAACUGCUUUUGACAGGGAAGAAUAAGGACUACGUGUAGUCUGAUGACGGUACCUGCAGAAUAAGCACCGGCUAACUCCGUGCCAGCAGCCGCGGUAAUACGGAGGGUGCGAGCGUUGUCCGGAUUUAUUGGGUUUAAAGGGUGCGUAGGCGGCCGUUUAAGUCUGGGGUGAAAGCCCGCUGCUCAACAGCGGAACUGCCCUGGAUACUGGACGGCUUGAGUGCAGACGAGGUUGGCGGAAUGGACAGAGUAGCGGUGAAAUGCAUAGAUACUGUCCAGAACCCCGAUUGCGAAGGCAGCUGACUAGGCUGUUACUGACGCUGAGG